rnacentral:lncRNA from 1 species
ACAGCCAAGAGGGAGGCCGGGCCAGGGGCUGGCGGCUUCCUCCGCGAGCUCUGCCAUUUCUGGCCUCAGGUCCUGAGUUGUUAUUGCAAGUCCAGGAAGAAUGAGGUUACUCAGGCAACUGGAGGGUGAGGAUGGAGAAGAGCUUUAUUGAGCAACAGAACAGCUCUCAGCAGAGAGGAGACCCAAAGUGGGUAGCUCCUACCUGCAGGAAGGUUUCUGAAGGGGGCCAAGAUGGCCCAAUAGGAACAGCUCCAGUCUGCAGCUCCCAGAAAGACCAACGCAGAAGGCAGGCUGAAGAUCUCUCUCUCUGCGGAAGCCAGCCACCGCUCUCCAAGGACUCUCGAGCAGCUCCAUCUACAGAUUCACAUGGAGAAGAAUUAAGGGUUCCUGCCAAUCACCAGCACCACUUUGCCAGCCUUGUAAGUGGGCCACCUUGGAAUUGGAGCCUCCAGUUCCUACUGACAUCUGACUGCAACAUCAUGAGAGACCCUGAGUUUGAACCACCCAGCUGAGCUGCUUCUGAGCUAACCCACUGAAACCGUGAAAGUACCUGAAUGAAACAACACCCAGUAGCCACUAGCACACCUAGCUCCCAGAUCUCAGUUUUUGAUGCCAUUCUUCAGUAAAAGGAAGCAAGGCUGCUUGGAGAAAUUGCUAUCAAGGACUGGCGUAGAAAAUAUACAGGAUGAAAUUGGAGCAUCUUGUAGUGCUUGAAAACAGUUGGCAUCUGUGUGAAGAUGUGAAUGGAGGAGGCAGGGUACGCAGUGAGUGCCGCAGCCACAGCUUGGGUUCUCUGCAGCCCUGGCACAGAAGGUAGGAACACCCAUGGGGGAUGCGGCCACUAUGAUGUC